ACCGCCGCAAGUCGGUUCGGACUCUGUGCGCUUCUUUGUGGAUUCGGUGGCCACUCCCUCUCCUCCAUUAAUUCUUAUUAUAUAUUUGCAUUAUUUGCGUCCCUUGUGGUCGGUGUCGUCUAUCAUUUUUCGGUGGUGGAUUCGUGGCAACUCCCCUAGCUUUUCGUAGUCCUGCAGUUGGCUUCUUAUCAAUAUUCUUCUCCUCCUCGAGGUAGC
rnacentral:lncRNA from 1 species